GCGGGUAUAGCUCAGUUGGUAGAGCGUCAGAUUGUGGCUCUGAAUGUCACGGGUUCGAGCCCCGUUACUCGCCCCA
rnacentral:tRNA from 1 species